CCUACGGGAGGCAGCAGUGAGGAAUAUUGGUCAAUGGGCGGGAGCCUGAACCAGCCAAGUCGCGUGAGGGAAGACGGUCCUAUGGAUUGUAAACCUCUUUAGGCGGGGAGCAAUGCCGGGCACGCGUGCCCGGAGGGAGAGUACCCGCAGAAUAAGCAUCGGCUAACUACGUGCCAGCAGCCGCGGUAAUACGUAGGGGGCAAGCGUUAUCCGGAUUUACUGGGUGUAAAGGGGGCGCAGACGGCAGCGCAAGCCAGGAGUGAAAGCCCGGGGCCCAACCCCGGGACUGCUCUUGGAACUGCGCGGCUGGAGUGCAGGAGGGGCAGGCGGAAUUCCUAGUGUAGCGGUGAAAUGCGUAGAUAUUAGGAGGAACACCAGUGGCGAAGGCGGCUUACUGGACUGUAACUGACGUUGAGGCUCGAAAGCGUGGGGAGCAAACAGGAUUAGAUACCCGAGUAGUC
rnacentral:rRNA from 1 species